GUGGAGGCCAGAAACUGCAGAUACUGCCGGAUUCUACUUAUAUCUACUCCCGGAUGUAUACAACCAUCCCUUACUUCGACCUGGAAUUGCGUUAGAAAAUUCUUCCAACACUACCCUCAAAAAAAGAAACCAUUAAUUUUAGCUUCCACAUAUGAGAAGAAAUACGAAGUAUUUGUGCCUCGCCUCAACCACCAUUUCUAUCCAUUUUUCUUCAAAAGAGAGGAUUCCAUUCUUUUUGUGGCUUAAUAAUCUUCAGUUAUGGGCAGAGAGAAGUUUGAGUUUGUGUGUUUUUUACUUACUGUUUGUCUCAUAUUUUCUGUGAGAUUCACUUAAUAGAGCCAGUCUUACUACAGUCUUGGAACCUGCCUGUACGAAUGAAUCCAUCAGGCAAGUUGGCUAUGAAGAAAAAGUUGAAAGAUAAAUGGACAGAAUUUACAGCAGGGUGUGCUCCCUCAAAUCUUGAGCAUAUAUUUCAAUGUCCGGC